rnacentral:rRNA from 1 species
UACGUAGGGUGCGAGCGUUGUCCGGAAUUAUUGGGCGUAAAGGGCUCGUAGGCGGUUUGUCGCGUCGGGAGUGAAAACCCAGGGCUUAACCCUGGGCUGGCUUCCGAUACGGGCAGACUAGAGGUAUGCAGGGGAGAACGGAAUUCCUGGUGUAGCGGUGAAAUGCGCAGAUAUCAGGAGGAACACCGGUGGCGAAGGCGGUUGCCUGGAGCUUUGCUGACGCUGAGGCGCGAAAGCGUGGGGAGCGAUCCGG